CUAUUUAGGUAGUGCCUCGUGUCUCACCUUCGGGGGUAGAGCACUGUCAUGGUUGGGGGGUCUAUUGCUGAUUACCCCGCCAUAGCAAACUCCGAAUACCGAAGAGUGCAAUCACGGGAGACAGACAUCGGGUGCUAACGUCCGGUGUCAAGAGGGAAACAACCCAGACCGCCAGCUAAGGUCCCCAAAUAUAGCUAAGUGGGAAACGAAGUGGGAAGGCUAAAACAGUCAGGAGGUUGGCUUAGAAGCAGCCACCCUUUAAAG
rnacentral:rRNA from 1 species